UCGCCAGGCCCCUCCAAGCCUUUCCUCGCGCAGCCGCCGCCAAAGCCUGGAGAAGUGGAAUCUCGCCGCCGCUGCUCCCUGCGCGGGCCUCGCGGAGCCGCACUGGGCAUGCUCAGUCGCCGGAGCCAGUGCUGCUCUAAGUAGGAAGCUCGCGUGCUGCAGCCCGCAGCUGAUCCGGGCGCUCAGCGGGCUGCGAAACCUAGGACCCGGGUUCAGAGCCGAUCGAUCGCCACGCAGCGCUGGUUGGAGUGUCUGCUGGGGACUCACUGUACUCUCUAGCCAAGCAUGCUGUGGUCAGAUCUGCCCAGCCCUGGAAUAGAAACCUUUGCCGGAUGGAAAAUCCACAAAAGAAAGCUCUUGUGAAAAGCUGAUUCUGACAUUGACUUAAGUGCGCCCAGAGAGGAAGUUCUUCAGUACAGCUAUGGACAAAGCUACAACCCGAGGCCACUCACGACAGCCUCAGCA
ensembl:lncRNA